UCCCUGGUGGCUCAGACAGUAAAGAGUCUGCCUGGAGUGCUGGGAGACCCAGGUUCAAUCCCUGGUUUGGGAA
rnacentral:tRNA from 1 species